GGGGCUGCCGCCGAGUCCUUGUGCGCCUGCGCGGUCACCGGCGCCUCUUGUACUGGAAAUGAGUGCCCUUUUUCCGGCUGGGUGGGAUGUGGCGUAGAUACUCUCGAGCUUUAAAACUGGAGGCAGAUUUACAAAUCUCUUCAGGCAGUUUGCACUUUGUUCAGAGUUCUGUUGAACUUUCUUCUCACUGUUUAGAAAACCGUCUAAUAAGGAUAGCCAUUGUCUCAAAGUUUUGAUACGUGUCUCCACUGCGGGCACAGUUCUUUAUACAGAUCCUCCUCGGAAGAUCUGUUUCACCCCCAUCUGCAGCCAACAAACUUGGCCGGAGGGUCAUUGGUGUUGUCAGUUGGCGCUCAUGCAGAAAGCCCAGUUAAAUGUCAAAUUUCAGACAGCGAAUAAUAUUGUCCUCAAAUGCAAUUGUGUCAUUCCAUUAAGAAAAUAAAUAUUUAACCCAACUUCUAGAGACAGAUUGUUAAACCAGAACAUCACAAGAUAAGAAUCGUUUCUUCUCAGGGUGCUCUUUCUUGAUCUAUGAGUUCCUUCAGCCAACCAAAUUAUGGAUCUGAAGGAUGCUUUAUGAAUAUAAGACUGAAUGAAAGAUAAUGGAAUCAACCUAUGGUAUAUUUUUUUUCAAAUUUCAGUGGCCAAAUGAUCCUUUUUCAUUCCAAGGGAAUUUACAGUUAAAGAAAGAACAAAGCAUCCUUUCCUCUUGAGAAUGUAGAAAAAUCUAUUUCUUUGAUUCUCCUCUUUGCUAGAUGUCAUUCCUUUAUAAUUUAUAUAAACUUGUGACCAAGAUUUAGGAAAUCCUAGAACAUUCUGUUCCAGAUAUUUACUCUGGGAAUUCCUAGUCCCUAUCAUUAUGAGUUGAGGUUUACUAGUUAAUUUGUAUGUACCAAACUUCUGGGACACCAUACUGUUACUGUCUAUGAACUGACAUUAGCUGCACUAAUUGCAAUUUCUAACAAAUGUGCUAGAAGUCAAGGAAAGGUAGUUACUCUUCAUUCAGAGUUUGUGUUACUCUUCAGUUUUUAAAAAUGUCUGUUUUAGAAGGCUCAGGCAGAAGGAACACAAGCUUAAGCCUAGUCUGAGCAAUUUAACAAUUUAGCAAGACCCUGUCUCAGAACUUAAAAAAAAAUAAUAAAAGAACUGUGGAUGUAAUUCAGUGCAAAGGCCUUGUGUCCAAUCCCUCACGGCACCCCCCCAAAAAUGUCUAUAGCUUUCCACAUUAAUUUUCUCAGUCCAAACCUGCUUUUCAGUUUAUGCUAUGACUUGAAAUUGACUUUUUCAACUUAAUUACAUGUGUUAUAAAAUAGUAUAUGUAAUGCAUUAUUUGCAUUGCAAUCUACACCAAAUUAUUCAUGGACUGUUGAGAAGAAAGGGGCUUAAAGUUCAAAUGAGAUAAAUUAUUUUCUUAUAACCAUAUAGGAUAUGUUUAAAUGUUACAUUAUCAUUGGUUCUAUUACAUUGAGAGAAAUUAUAAAUGGGCAAUUAAUAAAGAUUGGGAAGAUACUGAGUUUUACCUCUGCAAACCUAGGCAGAUUUUGGUUGCCUAUAAAAACAGAUUCUUAGAAGUCAAUUGAGUGUCUCACUUUUUUCCAUUGAAUAAACUUAAUUAAUUAAAGGCCUUUUUUAUCUUUUAGAGCUUUUUACUUGUAUGUAAUUAAUAAAUGUUAACAUCUCCUUAUUUCAUUGUAUUUUGUAAAAAUAAAUUCUUAUACUUUAAGCCACCAGAGAACUCCCACCUUCGAAGUGAACAGAUACUUAUUUUAAAAGGGCACUAGAGAUAGCCCAUCACAGUUAUUCCAGAAAAGAAUACAAUGUAUUAAAGUCUCUGAAAUUGCUCUGUGAAAGUGUGAUACUUGAGUGAAAUGCAAUUUUGGAUAUAAGAGGUAAUAUAGGCCAUGUCCUCAGGGGUUGUCAUUCUUUUAGAUGGCAUGUCAAGUGUUCAAUUCGUUUUUCUCUGAAGGUUCUGUGAUUGUAACCCCUCCCUCCUCAGUUGACACUCCUUUUAAUCAAUGUACUGAGGACCUCUACAUGUAUGAGCUGUUACAAUUUCAGCCAGCUCUUCUUAAUCAAAAAAGCACAUUAGUCAACCCAGGGAAUUUUUGAGUGAUUGGCUUUUUACAUUAAAUGUGCUACACUUUGUUUUUAAGUAGCUUUAUAAUUUACAUACCAUAUAACCUCUUUAAAGCACAGUUUGUGAAGUGAGGUUUGCUACAUUUAUAUGGCAGUGUAACCAUCACAAUUCAGUUUGAGAACACUGUGCCCGCCCCACAAUGUCCUUUAUGUCUGAUUGUACUUGAUCACGAGGGGCUUUCACAAUGAACAACAGCAGACCUUAGCCUCCCUACUUGACUCUCUUUGAGGGUGGAACAUCAAUGUUAUUUUGUAGUUAUAAGACACUCCUGAUGAUCUCAAUGUAAAGCAGUGUUGAUAUCCACUGAUUUGGACAAACCUUUGUCCAAGAUCUGGAAUAUGCAAAUGUCAUCCCUUACUAACCAAGAGAGCUGGUCAACUUAGUACAAUGUCAUAACCGUCAUAGCAGCAGCAAUAACAAAGGCCUUGAGGACCUUAAGAGAAUGGUGGUUUUCUGAUUCCUGGGCGUUCUUCUUAGUGUUUACUUUGCCUAGAAUCUUCUCUGCCUUCCUCUGGCAACACUCUCUAUGCACACCUAGUUAGCAUAAUAAAGACAGACACAAUUCCUGGAGAAUUUUAAUUGCUGCCUCAUUGUCGUUUCCAUACUCUUUGAGUAAACUUUUCAUCUUUAUUGCGUUGCACUUGUUUGUGUUCUGCCUCCCGUGUUGUUCUAAGAGCUCCUUGAGAUGCUGAAGCCAAGCCACACUCAUUUUAGUACCGUGUCUGCCACAGAGUGGACUCACACUGUUUGUUGAAUUCAGAAACUGAAUCAGUGACUUAAACAACUAUGAAAACCUAGGAAAAAAAAAAAAAGAAAACCUAGGCAAUAAUUUACAACUGUGACUGCAAAUUAGAAUCAACUAGAGAGCUUUCCAAAAACGCUGUAAUCACAUCACAUCUAGCCAGUGAAAUCAGAGACCCUAUGGAUAGGGCGAAGCAGGAUUUUUAUACUUUACCACUUCUUCUAAUGUACACUUGAAGUUGAGAACUAUGGGCUCAAAGCCAUGAAAGGUAGUCCAAAAUUCUUUCCAUGAUCCAAAAUAUACCUAAUUGCCUGAAAAAUUUAGAUUAUUCACUGUUAAACUGCUUGAAAAGAGCACAGAAAUCCAUGUGAAUUAAUAGCUGUUUAAAAAAUAUGUGAAAGUACCUAGGAUACUCAAGAAUGAAUAUUAGUAAUUCAUAUAGUGUAAAUUAGUCUAUAACAAAUUAAUGUAUUAUUGUAGUUGAUGGCUUUUGGUUUGGGGUUUUAAUUUCAUUUUUAAUUAAUUUUACUUUGUGCUGGACAUCUCAUAAAUACUCUGGAUUUUGACAAUGAUGAUAAUGAUCAUAAAUAGUAUAAACUACUGAACUCUGAUUUCUUUUCUUCUGACAUUUCAUUUGGAGAACCAUUAUGAAUUAGAAGUCUGGAUUGGGGUAGAAAAUUGAAAGUAUCAAAGCAAAAAUUGCCCUGGGAAGAGCUGGAAGAUUCGUAAGAAAGACAUUUAUGAGUUGUAAAAUUGGCAAGAGACUUUUUAAAGGAUUUAUAUUUCAAAGAGAAAAUAUUUGUAUUUUACAGGUUUUCUAAAGAUGCUCUAUAAAAGUAGAAGUCAGGGGCCUAGAGUCAAAGAGGAAGACUAUUUAUUCAAGCUGGGGAAUGUUAAGGCAGAAUUGAUAAAAAGUCAAAUGAUUGGGUUAUCUUGAAGCAUGGAGAUUGGUUAGUAAGGUCAGGCUCAGGAAGGCUGCCCGAGAAGUCUCCCCACAAUAAACUCUCAGCAGCAGCGUUUAGGAUGAGGCCAUUAUAUUCUUGGGAACAAUCAAAGAACAAAGCUAGAAAAGGACAGGGAAUUUUUGGAGGUAGAACAUUUUGCAGAUUUCCUGUGCAUAGCCUGAUUUAUAUCAGGAAAUGAGACAGGAAAGCUCCUUCUACACCAUCUUCCUCCUGAAGGAACCUCAGGUCAGCAUCCUAGGCCCCCGUGCUGCUGAGAGGACUGAGCUGCUGUGCUGGUCUGAAGGGCGACUUGGUUGGUCCACUGGUGAGAAGCUUCCUGUGUGGCUUCUGUCCCUCAUCCUCUUGAUAUACUAAUAAGAUAUUCUAAAACAUAGCUUAAUAUGUUAUUCCACACCUGUUUUUACAGAAAGGGAAGUUUGCUCUGUGCUUGUUUGAAAAAAUAAGUUACAACUUGUCGGAAAUUGGGAAGACUUCUUUUGGUUUUACCACAGAAUCACUCGGACUUUCAGAAUCAAGCGAUUCCUGGCCAAGAAGCAAAAGCAGAAUCAUCCCAUUCCUCAGUGGAUUCGGAUGAAGACUGGUAAUAAAAUCAGGUACAACUCCAAGAGGAGACACUGGAGGAGAACCAAGCUGGGACUGUAAGGAAUUGAAUAUAAGAUGCAGCAUAUUUCUGUCUCGGAAGUCAC